rnacentral:rRNA from 1 species
UUUUCCUACGGGAGGCAGCAGUAGGGAAUCUUCGGCAAUGGACGAAAGUCUGACCGAGCAACGCCGCGUGAGUGAAGAAGGUUUUCGGAUCGUAAAACUCUGUUGUUAGAGAAGAACAAGGAUGAGAGUAACUAUUCAUCCCUUGACGGUAUCUAACCAGAAAGCCACGGCUAACUACGUGCCAGCAGCCGCGGUAAUACGUAGGUGGCAAGCGUUGUCCGGAUUUAUUGGGCGUAAAGCGAGCGCAGGCGGUUUCUUAAGUCUGAUGUGAAAGCCCCCGGCUCA